CUCCCUCGCUCCCCUUCCUAGCUUCAAAGUUCCAAGUUCCCCCCCUAAACUCCUCCAAGAGUCCCCAAACCCUUUCGUUUUUUAUCUGAUUACGACGAUAUUAUCCGCUGGGUGAAGAUCUUCUCCUCGAUUUUGUGUUUAUCUCAAAGGAUUUUUCCUCCAGAUUGUUCGCUGGCUGAAGAAUCCCCAUCUCCGGCAGCUUUUGAUGAAUCUGCCAGGAGGUAUUAGUGGCCGGGUCUAAGGAGAGCGACAUUCAUGUUCAGUAAAACACAAUCUUAAAACCUGAAAGUUAUGUGGAAAUCAAGCCUCUUCACAUCAAGACAUACUCGUGGAGACAUCCGCAGCAUUACCUACUGGUGGGGUUGGUGAUGCCACAUGGUAGGUGUUGCUGCAUGGCUGCUAAAUGAUGCUAUAGCAUAAGAGCACCAGGUGGAGUUGGCACUCGGAAACUGGAGGUAAACCACCCUUACCAAGCUUUGUCUUUGGUUGGCUUGAUGAUGGGAAUACAUUUCAAGCAGGUGAGAAGAAGGGAAAUAGUUCAUAUGGGUCUGGUGUAUUUCCAUAUCCUGAGGGGGAUCCUUUUUUUUGGAUUAUUUCUUUUAUUACCAUUUAGGUAGGGGAGUUUACAGUAGUUAUAACUGAAGAUCAUGUUGGCAUCAGCGAUUUAACUCGUCAUUUCUAUGUUACAGCUGAGAAGUUGGCAGGGGAAGUAAAUGGAAGGGGGAUGUGGUUGAAGGAAUGGGGGAUAGAUGAUGGCAAGGAGAUGCAAUGAAGUAAUCUUUCAAUACAUAACCGUACAAUUUGAUUGAUUAACAUGUGUACUUAUAAUCUGAUGGUCAUUACAUGGGGAGUCAGUAAAAUUGCGCAUUAAGUUAUGUACAGCAGAUGGAUAUGGCUUGUUGGCUAUUUCUAUAGUUAUGUGCCCUCUAAUAGCAAAUUUACUUGAAGGGGAGUAUUUUU